rnacentral:lncRNA from 1 species
UGGGUUACUGUAGCACUUAAGGCUAAUCAUGGAGUAACUAGGCUUAAAAGAUUCGUCUCGCGAUUCUCAACUAAACUGUGUAAUUUGUUUAUUUUUUUAUCUACAUUUAAUAUUCCAUUUAUGUGUCAAAGAUUCGAUAGGAUGGAUGAAAAAUUUUUGGGUGGAGAACUAAACAGGGCCUAACCAUUCGUUUUGUUGCCCAUGGCCGCAGGCUGCUCCUUUCGGUCGGUGAAUGGCACGCAGCGAUACCUGUUAACCGCACAGCCCUUCAAGUUUGGGCCGUGUUUAGUUUCUAAAGCAAAAUGAACCUCAUAAUUAAAGAAAAGGACAUUAUUCAGCUUGGACUUCACCUGCACUGUAUUCAUAUCCAUGCUUAUGUGGUUCUUGUUUUAUGUACAUAGUACGCCUCAAAUAAACUACAUGUCCCAUAUAGCUAGUAAUUUGUCACGAUACUUUUAACUUUGUCAAGAUACUGUAGCAAUAACAUACUACCUUCGUCUCAUUAAAAAUGUCAUCUUUAACUUUUAGAUUUUUUGUUUGAGCGUUCAUUUUAUUCAUUUUUUAUAUAAAAUAAAAAAAUAAAAAAAUCAUUUUUAAUAUAUCUCUAAUAAUAAAAUAGAUUAUAACAAAAUAAAUAAUAUUUAUACAAAAAAUUUAAAUAAGACGAAUGGUCAAAUAAUAUGUUUAAAGUCUAAAACCACACUCUCAAUGGAAGAGAGGGAGCACAGAAAUAAAUCCAUUUCAACCCCCGCCAAAUAGGGCUGAAGUAAAAUUCAUAUCCAUAGCCUGCCAGUGCAUAAUUAAAGUUGAGCAGCCCGCGGGCCAAAAUGCAUGGUCUAAAGCACGGAGAAUUGGUCCGAUAUGAGCACGGCCCAACCCACAUCUUAACCAUGCCCAUGCCAGCCCGAAGCACAUAGCGGGCUAUGCUUGGGCCGACCCCUCGGCGCGCGGGGCAGCACGACUCGGUCCGCUUUUAACAACAGCCACGAUGUCGGCCCGGUAUCAGAGAACUUAUAAAAUUUGAAGUAUCAAGUUCUGUAACUUGUAAAACUUGUGACUUUUGGAAUGUGAAAUAUGAUCUGUAAAGUAUAUUGUAUUAUGUGAAUUGUGAAGUGUUAAUGUGUGUGACUUGAAUGUGAUUUACUUAUGCUUUGCUGAAUUUUGUAUUAAAAUUAGUGUUUCUCAUACAACGGGC